rnacentral:rRNA from 1 species
GUGGGGAAUCUUGCGCAAUGGGCGAAAGCCUGACGCAGCCAUGCCGCGUGAAUGAUGAAGGUCUUAGGAUUGUAAAAUUCUUUCACCGGGGACGAUAAUGACGGUACCCGGAGAAGAAGCCCCGGCUAACUUCGUGCCAGCAGCCGCGGUAAUACGAAGGGGGCUAGCGUUGCUCGGAAUUACUGGGCGUAAAGGGCGCGUAGGCGGACAGUUUAGUCAGAGGUGAAAGCCCAGGGCUCAACCUUGGAAUUGCCUUUGAUACUGGCUGUCUUGAGUACGGGCGAGGUGAGUGGAACUCCGAGUGUAGAGGUGAAAUUCGUAGAUAUUCGGAAGAACACCAGUGGCGAAGGCGACUCACUGGCCCGUUACUGACGCUGAGGCGCGAAAGCGUGGGGAGCAAACAGGAUUAGAAACCCGUGUAGUCC